UGUUAGAAUUCACAAGUGUGUUCUUAAAUUCAUUGCUUUGCUCAAAAGAAGAGCAAACUCAGUUUCUUUUAACUUUGGUGAUGCAUCCUCCUUUCAUUUGGAAGCUACUAGGCAUAUCAUAAGGAAUGAUCAGAGAAUCUGGUAUGGUGAAGUUUUCCAGUAUUUAGAAAGCAGAAAUAAGAGAGUAAAGGAUAUUCCUAAUAUUAUUGCUCAACUUAACGUAUACAUGGAUGACCAUGGAAUCCUGAGAAUUAGAAGUAAAAUGCCUAAAUGGAGAAAAGAUACUUUUGUCAACUUUCCUAUUUUACUUCACAAACACAGUAAGUUAACUCGGUUAGUAAUAAAAGAUUUUCAUGAGAAUUUCUCACAUGCUGGUGUUUAUUCUCUUUUGUCAGAGAUGAGAAAAAAGUUUUGGAUUCCACAUUACUUUUCAGUAGUAAAAAAGGUCCUUAAAGAAUGUGUCAUUUGUAAGAGAUUCAAAGAGAGAACGGUUAAGGUCAAUCAAAGUGCCUAUCGCGAUUUUAGGAUUGACCCUCCCUCUAUACCAUUGUUAUAUUUUUAUUGAUCAUUUUGGACCGUAUAACGUUAAGCUUAAUGGUAAAAAGAGCAAAGUUUGGAUUCUAUGUUUGACUUGUCUCUGGUCUAGGGCAAUUAAUUUAAAAAUUUGUUUAGAUCUCACUACAAAAGAAUUUUUAAGAGCUUUUCAACUGCAUGCAUAUCAGUAUGGAAUCCCUCAACUAGUAUUGUCAGAUCUUGGAUCUCAGUUGAUAGCUGGAGCUAAUGUGGUCACUAAUUUCCUGGGUGAUCCUGAGAGUCAGGCAUAUUUUGAAGAGAAUGGUGUAAAGUCAAUUAAGUUUCAGCAGUAUCCAAAGGGAUGUAAUAAAUUAGGAGGACUUGUUGAGACUUGUGUUAAAAUGAGUAAGCGUUUAAUCCAUGGAGCAUUAAGAAAUAAUGUGUUAGACUUCCGUGAUUUUGAGUUUUUUGUAGAGCAAACCGUACACUUGGUUAACAGGCGCCCUAUUGCCUUCAAAGAAGGGUUGAGAGACAGUAUCACAGAGGAAGUGCCUGAUGCAAUUACACCAGAAAUAUUAAUUCAUGGACAUGAAUUGCUGUCUAUUAACAUUAUUCCUGACUUGCAGGGCAAUCCAGAUGAAGAUCUGAACUGGACAGCAGAUGAUCAUGUUAGCAAAGUUUUAGACAAGUAUCAAAAACUUAGAAAUGUGAGGUCUCGACUUAUUAACAUUUAUAAUUCAGAAUUUAUAGCACACUUAGUGUCACAAGCUACAGACGAAAGGAGUAGAUAUAAACCAGUGACACACAAAAGAAUUCAAGUAGGUGAUAUUGUUCUGUUAAAAGAACCGCACAUGAAACCUUCAAAUUACCCAAUGGGUAUUGUUAAAAAAGUAAAAUUAAAUGACUUGGAUGAAGUAACUGACAUAGCUGUGUUUAAGGGAGCUUCUCGUGAAACUGUAAGACGGCAUGUUACUUCAGUAAUACCUCUCUUAAGCCCUGUGACUAAUGACACUGAAGAAAAGGAAGAUAUUAAAGAGGACAGUAGUACACAUCAAAGAAAAAAGAGAAAGGCUGCUGUCAUUAGUGAGGCACGAACUAGAGAUAUGUUGAGAAAUUAGUAUGCAGUAUAUGUUUAGGUGUUGGUAAUUUUGAUUUUUUCCCGUUAGAAUGUUACUCAAUUUUGUAACAUUACCUUUACCAUUCGAAUUUUGACUAAAUUCGAAUCCCCCCUUUGGAGUGUUGAAGAAUUAUUUUAUAUUCUAAUUCUGUAGAAAAUUUAUAAAAUUGUGUAUAUAUAUAUAUAUAUAUCUAAGUUCAUAUUUGUUUUAUCCUUGAAACCCCCUUUUGCCAUACAAAGCAAAAUCAAAAAGAAAUACUGGGAGUUUCAAGGAUAAUAUGCUCAGUCCAUAGAUGGCUCUGCUGGCUGUAUUUUAAUAUUUGCAGUUCCUGAUUCCAUCAUCCUUGGGAAAAAAUUUUCACCUACUGGUAAUGAGAGAAGAGUGAGGAAGCAGAUCAGCCAUAUUGGAUUGUGUUUUCUUCUAGUGAAGAAGUGCUAUGAAGAUGGAGUAGCACUUUAUUUUAAGGCCACCUCUCCUGCAAUUGCUUACCACGAGUGCUACCAUGAAGAGUGCAAUAUCAAGAUUUCAGAAUACAUACUUCUCAACAAUGGGAUAUUCUGCUGCACUUCGAUUUGCUUUGGAAUUUUAAGGAUAUGGCCUACCAACCCAGCUAGGUUACUUGUGCUUGCUGGAAGGUAGCCUAGUAUCAUCGGCUUCAGUCAUCUUCCUGGUCUUGGCAAAUUUAUUUAGAAUCCAUAGUUUUCAAAAACAGGCAAGAGUUGAGUGGGUUCUACCACAGGCAGUCACUAGUGAUUGAGGAUUCCACUUCAGCCAUCAGAGUUCCAUUGCUUUGCCAUA